AGAGUAAUAAGGUUUUGGGUCUGUACCUUUUGUAUCAGGGGUCUUUAAAAAUAAAAUUAGGAGUUAUUCGAGUCAGUUCGAUUUUUGUGUGUUAAUUGCAGUUGUAGUAGCAGUUUUAAUAGGGCAAGAGGUGAAAAGUGUGCGAGAGCUGCGGUAGCUAAUUGUUUUUAUGUUGAAAGGUUAAGCUUUCAUAGACCUAUGCAGUAAAGAGUAAUUAAAAAGGUUAGGCUUUAGAUUAGCCAGGCCGUUAAAUUGUUUUAAAUAAUUUUUUUAUGAUAGUUUAAGUAGGGUUAUAUGACUAUGAAGAAAUAAUAGUUGUUUGCAUGAAUAAUGAAGGCAUUGAAUAAGGAGAGGAGCUGAAAAAUAACUCAAAACAUGCUAGAGAGUUUAGCAAAAACAUUUUUGUUAGGGGUAAGUAGAAUAAAACCUGCCCAGUGCAGAGUUAACGGCUGCAGUAUUUUGACUGUGCUAAGGUAGCGUAGUCAUUUGCUUUUUAAUUGGUAGCUGGAAUGAAAGGUUAAACUAGUUUUAUGUGUUUGUAGGUGAAAUAGUAAGUUUAAGUAGAGGUAAUAAUUCCUUUGUUUUCUGGGGGACGAUAAGACCCUAGAAGCUUAAUUAGCGGGGGAUUUGUAGUGAGAAAGUACAGUUGGUUUUGCUGGGGCGGCAAUAGUAUAUCAACUACUAUAAAGUUGGAGGAUCCUGGUAUAUCCAGAUGUAGCGGAAAAGUUACUCUAGGGCUAACAGUACAAUAUAUUUGGAGAGACCGUAUCGAUAAGUAAGUUUGUAACCUCGAUGUUGAAUUAAUAUAUCUACGCGGGGUAGUAAAUGCGUAAGAGGGUUUGUUCAACC
rnacentral:rRNA from 1 species